rnacentral:rRNA from 1 species
AUUGAACGCUGGCGGCAUGCUUUACACAUGCCAGUCGAACGGUAACAGGCCGCAAGGUGCUGACGAGUGGCGAACGGGUGAGUAAUGCAUCGGAACGUGCCCAGUCGUGGGGGAUAACUACUCGAAAGAGUAGCUAAUACCGCAUACGAUCUAUGGAUGAAAGCGGGGGACCGUAAGGCCUCGCGCGAUUGGAGCGGCCGAUGUCAGAUUAGGUAGUUGGUGGGGUAAAGGCUCACCAAGCCAACGAUCUGUAGCUGGUCUGAGAGGACAACCAGCCACACUGUGAGAGAGACACGCGGCAGACACCUACACGAGGCGGAGGUGGGGAAAAUUGGAGAAUAGGCGCGAACCUGAGCCAGCAAAACCGCGUGCAGGAAGAGGGCCUUCGGGUUGUGUAAUCCUUUUGUGCGGGAAAAAACGGGGCUGGUUAAUACCCGGGGCUAAUGACGGUACCGUAAGAAUAAGCACCGGCUAACUACGUG